rnacentral:rRNA from 1 species
GAGAGAGACAUGCGCGCAUAUCAAUAAGCGGAGGAAAAGAAACUAACAAGGAUUCCCUUAGUAACGGCGAGUGGAGCGGGAAGAGCUCAAAUUUGAAAUCUUCAAGGUUCUACCUUGACGAAUUGUAGUUUAUAGAAGUGUUUUCUGUUAGUGGAGUGGCAAAAGUUCUUUGGAAUAGGACAUCAUAGAGGGUGAGAAUCCCGUAUUUGGUCAUUCCUCCUAGCGUUGUGAUACACUUUCAACGAGUCGGAUUGUUUGGGAAUGCAGUCCAAAAUGGGUGGUAAAUUUCAUCUAAAGCUAAAUAUUGGCGAGAGACCGAUAGCGAACAAGUACCGUGAGGGAAAGAUGAAAAGAACUUUGAAAAGAGAGUUAAACAGUACGUGAAAUUGUCAAAAGGGAAGCGUUUGACACCAGUGUUGUUUUUCCGAAAAUCAAUUACGAAUGUUUUAUUUUUGAGGAGUUAUGACUUCAUCGGCUUGCUCCUUUCUUUACGAAACUUUCUUAAUGCACUUUUCGGUUAACAAGUCAACAUCAAUUUCUUUUGUUGUAAAAGGGUAUGAGGAAGGUGGCUUUCUUUUCGGAGAAAGUGUUUAUAGCCUCGUGCCUCUGCAAUCGGAGAGAUUGAGGUCUGCAGCGUAGAUCCUUCGGGGUUAGAUACAGUUUGUGCUAAGUUAUAGCUUUUCAUAGACAACUUGUUGACUAUGUUUAGUCUUGUAGCUUACUCGCUGCAUGCUAUUUUACCUACGCUUAGGAUGUUGAUAGUCACAGCGUGUAC